rnacentral:rRNA from 1 species
UGAGGAAUAUUGGUCAAUGGGCGAGAGCCUGAACCAGCCAAAUCGCGUGAAGGAAGACUGCCUUAUGGGUUGUAAACUUCUUUUAUACAGGAAUAAAAAAGGGGACGUGUCCCUUAUUGCAUGUACUGUAUGAAUAAGCAUCGGCUAACUCCGUGCCAGCAGCCGCGGUAAUACGGAGGAUGCGAGCGUUAUCCGGAUUUAUUGGGUUUAAAGGGUGCGCAGGCGGGCUUUUAAGUCAGCGGUGAAAUCUCGGGGCUUAACUCCGAAACUGCCGUUGAAACUGGGAGUCUUGAGUAUGGAUGAAGUAGGCGGAAUUCGUUGUGUAGCGGUGACAUGCUUAGAUAUAACGAGGAACUCCGAUUGCGUAGGCAGCUUACUAAGCCAUAACUGACGCUCAAGCACGAAAGCGUGGGGAUCAAAACAGGAUUAGAUACCCCUGGUAGUCCACGCCGUAAACGAUGAUUACUAGUUGUAUGCGAUAUACCGUAUGUGACUAAGCGAAAGCGAUAAGUAAUCCACCUGGGGAGUACGCCGGCAACGGUGAAACUUAAAUGAAUUGACGGGGUCAUAGCUGUUUCCUG